AAAAAAGCAGGGGUCUAUUGCCUUUGUGAAUAGGUCUCUCGUAAAUGUCAGGGAAAUCAUUAGCCUUGUUCUUGGGUGAACCUCUGUUGUGUUUAUUGUGGCUGAAGGUUCAGUAAAUGAUGCAACAAUU